CCCGCUGAACUUAAGCAUAUCAAUAAGCGGAGGAAAAGAAACUAACAAGGAUUCCCCUAGUAACUGCGAGUGAAGCGGGAAAAGCUCAAAUUUGAAAUCUGGCGGUUUUUGACCGUCCGAGUUGUAAUCUAGAGAAGUGUUACCUGUGCUGGACCGUGUAAAAGUCUCCUGGAAUGGAGCAUCAUAGAGGGUGAGAAUCCCGUCUUUGACAUGGACGACCAGUGCGUCGUGGUGCGCUCUCAAAGAGUCGAGUUGUUUGGGAAUGCAGCUCAAAAUGGGUGGUAAAUGCCAUCUAAAGCUAAAUAUUGGCGAGAGACCGAUAGCGAACAAGUACCGUGAGGGAAAGAUGAAAAGCACUUUGGAAAGAGAGUUAAACAGUACGUGAAAUUGCUGAAAGGGAAACGCUUGAAGUCAGUCACGUCGGCUAGAAAUCAGCCUUGCUUCUGCUCGGUGUACUUUCUGGUUGACGGGUCAGCAUCAAUUUCGACCGCUGGACAAAGUCUUUGGGAAUGUGGCAUCCUCGGAUGUGUUAUAGCCCAUCGUCGCAUGCAGUGGUUGGGAUUGAGGAACUCAGCACGCCGCAAGGCCGGGUUUCGACCACGUUCGUGCUUAGGAUGCUGGCAUAAUGGCUUUAAUCGACCCGUCUUGAAACACGG
rnacentral:rRNA from 1 species